UGGGUCGUUCAGACGGUCGCGUCGGUCUUCGUGUCGAAGGCCGCCGAGGAACGUCCGGGCUCCACAGGGCAAGACGGUGGGUAACGCCCACCCGGGGUGACCCGCGGGAAAAGUGCCACAGAAAACAAACCGCCGGCCCGUACGGGCCGGUAAGGGUGAAACGGUGGUGUAAGAGACCACCAGCGGGCCAGGCGACUGGUCCGGCUCGGUAAACCCCGUCUGGAGCAAGGUCGGACAGGCGACGAUUGAGGGCUGCCCGCCCGAGUCGCCGGGUGGACUGCUGGAACGUGCGGGCAACCGUACGUCGAGAUAGAUGACCGUCGCCCGAGUCGGGUAACCGCACUUGGGAACAGGACCCGGCGUACGAGCGGCCCAUCCG
rnacentral:RNase_P_RNA from 1 species